rnacentral:rRNA from 1 species
GAUGAACGCUGGCGGCGUGCUUAACACAUGCGAGUCGAACGAUGAAGCCCAGCUUGCUGGGUGGAUUAGUGGCGAACGGGUGAGUAACACGUGAGUAACCUGCCCUUAACUCUGGGAUAAGCCUGGGAAACUGGGUCUAAUACCGGAUAGGAGCGUCCACCGCAUGGUGGGUGUUGGAAAGAUUUAUCGGUUUUGGAUGGACUCGCGGCCUAUCAGCUUGUUGGUGAGGUAAUGGCUCACCAAGGCGACGACGGGUAGCCGGCCUGAGAGGGUGACCGGCCACACUGGGACUGAGACACGGCUCAGACUCCUACGGGAGGCAGCAGUGGGGAAUAUUGCACAAUGGGCGAAAGCCUGAUGCAGCGACGCCGCGUGAGGGAUGACGGCCUUCGGGUUGUAAACCUCUUUCAGUAGGGAAGAAGCGAAAGUGACGGUACCUGCAGAAGAAGCACCGGCUAACUACGUG